GCAGGCAAAGGGUGAAUUUUUCCCAAAAUGGAGUGAUUUUUUUCAUUAAAUUCCAUGUACUACUCGAAGAAUUUAUUUACAAGACCAGGAAAAAAAAAGGAAAAAAAAAAAAGGAAGGAGUGAAAUAGGGAAAAGGCUUAGAUUUCAACUGAAAUAGCAACAAAAUCACCUAAUAUUAAGUUUCAAAUUAUUGAUAAAACAACAUUUCGUGUCUUACUUAAUGUGGACCCCUUCACAUUGUGUGAGGGCUGUAUACAAAGCUGUGUACAAGAAGAAAAAACCGUUUUCAAAACAUUGGCUAAUAUAAAAAAAAUAAAUUUACGAAACCAAAACGAUCAGACAGAAAUUUCAAAAAUUCUUAAUGAAUGAAAAUCACAUAGCCAGGUAAAUAGAUUUUUCAUGAAAUAUAUAUAUGUGCUUGCAUUCAUAAAAGGGUUCACCUUGCCAACAGUUUCUGAAUAGAAAUAUAAAAUUUAUGGAAUCAAAUUUGUUGGUGGGCUAUAUAUCCCUAUAUAGAGUAAGAGGUAAGGCCUACCAUCCCUUUAGCUUUCUCUUUAAAGUUGAGGGACCAAGUUACUAAAGGGCAAUAUAGGACCAAUACCCCUCCGUACCACCUCUUCAUGCUACCUUCUCUUUGGCAAAAGCUAAAUUGUGUUUAACUUUCAUUGUAGUUGCAAUUUUGCAACUCAAUAUCUACUAAAUCGUCACGUAGCACUCAUAUAUCUAGUUAUUGUCAAACUUUAUGAAGCUAAAAUUUUGCAUUUUAAUUUAUACUAGUACACUGAGAAAUUUCAACAAUUUAACAAUAAAUUAAACAAAUUUUCUCACUGAAAGCUGAUGGGUUAAGUUGAUAUUCUUAUACAACCCUACUAUAUUGUUCGAAACCUACUGACCGAAGCCUUGACUGAAUACUCACAACGGAAGGGUGGAAGCCACAUUUUUAAAUUUUUUUAUUCAUGCGGACUAUGCACAUUGAUUUCAGUGAAAUGUCGUACUUGGUAAUGCAUGCAAGUAUAGUUCAUGAAAUGAAGGUGGUGCGCCUACCGGGGCAUAGUCCAAUGGUGUAAAGGAUAGGAAAGAGGUUAUCUCACGCUUUGCUGGUAAUCGUGGUGUGGGGGUUUGAUUUUUGAGACAUGAAAUUAGACUCUUUGUAAGCACAGUGUACAGAUAGCUCUUAUUCCCUGACCUGCUGAGGCACAUUCUAUGAUUUACUUCCCUCACAAAACUCUUAGAGCGGGACAAUGGAGGUCCUCAAGAUUGGAGUUCAACAUUUUUUAAAAUUGAAGGUGGUCCAGAAAACACACACCAAAGCCAUAGGUGUCACAGUUUUCAACAUGUUUGUACUAUGAUUAGGUAUAUGUUUAAAAGGAGUAUUUUUCUUAAAAAUAUAUUACUUAAAAAGUAAAUAUCGUUAGUAAAAAAAUUUAAUUUUAAAAAUUAUGUUUGACAAAAUAAGUAAUUUCAUAGUAAGGAAAAGUUGAUCAAUGAAUAAUGAGGCCUGGAAUUAUGGUUGGCAUAUUGCACAAGGAUAAAGAAGUGCAGGCAGAGGGUGAAUUUUACCCAAAAGGGAGUGAAUUUUUCAUUAAAUUCCAUAUACUACUUGAAGAAUUUAUUUACAAGACCAGAAAAGAAAGAGUGAAAUAGAGAAAAGGCAUAGAUUUCAACUGAGAUAGCAACCUAGAGAUGCAAUUAAAUCACUUAAUAUUAAGUUUAGUGAUAAAGCAGCACGUCGUGUCUUACUUAUUUUUCUGGAAAUAGUAUAGUCAAGUAUCGAGUCUUGUUGCAUUUCCUGUUUCUGUGUUGGUGCAAACUAACUCAGGGUUCAGUUCAAUCCACUCGUACCGUCCUUCCAAUGGCAUGUCCUCCAGAAUGUCAAAAUUAUACCUGCAUUUAUCGGAAUUG
rnacentral:lncRNA from 1 species